rnacentral:sRNA from 1 species
AUAUCCUGGCACUUGAGCCGAAAAUCAUGCAGCGACUGCAGCAGCAGCUCCGUUGGUGGGGCUGCGUUCACCUGAUAAAAUAGUUUAAGGUGUAUCGCUGGCUUCUGAUGCUGUUGCUGCUGCUGCUGCGGCUGCGGCUGCUGCUGUUGCUGCUGUUGAUGCUGUUGCUGCUGUUGCUGCUGCUGUUGCUGCUGAUCCCCCCCACCGGACAGCGAUGGCGUUAAGGGCGGUGUGCCACC